rnacentral:rRNA from 1 species
AUUGAACGCUGGCGGCAUGCCUUACACAUGCAAGUCGAACGGCAGCACGGGAGCAAUCCUGGUGGCGAGUGGCGAACGGGUGAGUAAAGUAUCGGAACGUGCCCAGUCGUGGGGGAUAACGUAGCGAAAGUUACGCUAAUACCGCAUACGAUCUAUGGAUGAAAGCGGGGGAUCGCAAAACCUCGCGCGAUUGGAGCAGCCGAUAUCAGAUUAGGUAGGUGGUGGGGUAAAGGCUCACCAAGCCGACGAUCUGUAGCUGGUCUGAGAGGACGACCAGCCACACUGGGACUGAGACACGGCCCAGACUCCUACGGGAGGCAGCAGUGGGGAAUUUUGGACAAUGGGCGAAAGCCUGAUCCAGCCAUGCCGCGUGCAGGAUGAAGGCCUUCGGGUUGUAAACUGCUUUUGUACGGAACGAAAUGGUUUGGCCUAAUAAGCUGAGCUCAUGACGGUACCUUAAGAAUAAGCACCGGCUAACUACGUGCCAGCCGCCGCCGUAA